UCUGGCUCAGGAUGAACGCUGGCGGCGUGCUUAACACAUGCAAGUCGAACGGAGUAUAGACGCUGCAGAGAUUUCGGUCGAAGCUUGUUAUACUUAGUGGCGGACGGGUGAGUAACGCGUGGGUAACCUGCCGUAUGCAGGGGGACAACAGUUGGAAACGACUGCUAAUACCGCAUAUGCGCACAGUACCGCAUGGUACAGUGUGGAAAGAUUUAUCGGCAUACGAUGGACCCGCGUUUGAUUAGAUAGUUGGUGAGGUAACGGCUCACCAAGUCGACGAUCAAUAGCCGGCCUGAGAGGGCAAUCGGCCACAUUGGGACUGAGACACGGCCCAAACUCCUACGGGAGGCAGCAGUGGGGAAUAUUGCACAAUGGGGGAAACCCUGAUGCAGCCGACGCCGCGUGAGUGAAGAAGUAUUUCGGUAUGUAAAGCUCUAUCAGCAGGGAAGAUGAUGACGGUACCUGACUAAGAAGCCCCGGCUAACUACGUGCCAGCCGCCGC
rnacentral:rRNA from 1 species